UCCCUCUUAGCUCAGUUGGUAGAGCGCGUCACUAGUAUCUGUCCUUGACGGUCCUUUAUGACGAGGUCAGUCGUUCAAGUCGGCUAGAGGGAA